GCAGGUGUAUGUUAAUGGUAGACACAGUGCCUUCCAAGCAUUUAGUGCUCGUUCGAUCCGAGUCGUCUGCA
rnacentral:tRNA from 1 species